CGAACAGGGCAAGCUCGUCGCGACCAAUGUCGAAGGUGUUAUUAUCAAAGGCUCCGGUCAUUGGCUGAUGGAAGAAGCGCCGGGCCAGGUGAUUCCGACGCUGGUGGAUUUUCUCAACCGCUAAUCGCGCAACCGGCAAAUCCUGCAAAAAUUUGCGUGAGCGGGCCGUCCGGAAACGGAACUUCUGUUGCGCUGCCAUGCGUAUCAUGUAGCCUUGGAUUUAUUCUAACCAGGGGCGCAUCAUGAUUUUAGGCAUGUCGUUAGCGGGUUUCACCGUCCUUCAUCUCAUCAUCAGCAUGAUCGCCAUCGGCCUGGGCUUCGUGGUGGCGGGUGGG
rnacentral:misc_RNA from 1 species